rnacentral:misc_RNA from 1 species
AAGUCGUAACAAGGUUUCCGUAGGUGAACCUGCGGAAGGAUCAUUACAGUAUUUCACAGGGCGCUGCUGCUGGCUCUUAACCCGAGCAUGUGCGCGCGCCCCCUUCGUCCACACAAACACCUGUGCACCUGGGGAACCCCUCCCAUUGAGAGCCGUCUCGUGUAACCCCUUUCUCCGGAGGGGGGGCCGAGGCCGAGGGGAGCCCUCGUCGUUUACACACCAUCCCCGAGUCUUUAACGCAUGUUGAAUUGGCCCCACGGGGUGGAUAAGUUAAUACAA